UACCAGCUUCUCGAGUGGUGGGGACGAUUAUUGGGCCUAAAGCGUCCGUAGCUUGCUUGUCAAGUCUUCCGUUAAAUCCGACGAUUCAAUCGUUGAUCCGCGGAGGAUACUGUCAAGCUUGGGGGCGGAAGAGGCUGGCGGUAUUCCCAGGGUAGGGGUGAAAUCCUAUAAUCCCGGGAGGACCACCAGUGGCGAAGGCGGCCAGCUAGCACGCGCCCGACGGUGAGGGACGAAAGCUGGGGGAGCAAACCGG
rnacentral:rRNA from 1 species